UUGACGGAUGAACAAGUCAAAGAGUCGCUAAUUUUAUUUAAAAAGUACUGCAGACUUGUCCCUUCUUACCUGAAAGUCCCAAAUGUUAGGGAUAAUUUAAAGUUAGAGGUUUCUUUGCGAUGCUUGACCCUUAACUUAACUCAAAAAGAAUACAGGGAGAAAAUAGCCCAGUUUGAGAAAAAUGAUCAACUAUGUAAAACUCUUCUAUUAAAAAAAAUAAAGAGCUGCUUCCGAAAACCAAGUCCA